UAAUACGGAGGAUGCAAGCGUUAUCCGGAUUCAUUGGGUUUAAAGGGUGCGUAGGCGGAAUAAUAAGUCAGUGGUGAAAGCCUGUGGCUCAACCAUAGAAUUGCCAUUGAUACUGUUAUUCUUGAGUAUAGUUGAAGUGGGCGGAAUGUGUAAUGUAGCGGUGAAAUGCUUAGAUAUUACACAGAACACCAAUUGCGAAGGCAGCUCACUAAGCUGUUACUGACGCUGAGGCACGAAAGCGUGGGGAGCAAACAGGAUUAGAUACCCUGGUAGUCCACGCUGUAAACGAUGAUCACUCGUUGUUGGCGAUACACCGUCAGCGACUGAGCGAAAGCAAUAAGUGAUCCACCUGGGGAGUACGGCGGCAACGCUGAAACUUAAAGGAAUUGACGG
rnacentral:rRNA from 1 species